GGUCCUGCACUCCUGUUUUCGAUUGCAGUCCACAAGGGUACCCAGAGCGCUCCUGCACAUCGCCUCUCCGGUCUAUGCUCCAAAAGAUUACUUCGCGAGCGAAGAUCACCCGCUCCACGAAUGACUGCUAUCGCUUCUGCAUUCUCUCGCGUACGGCGACCUGCUGCCAGACUGGACUUAGCCUGGCACCAUUACUCUUAAUUAUGGUUUCCGGUGUCUGUUAUCCCUUGUGGCGCAAGCGAGAUGUUCCAGCACGCUCAUUUACAAGAACACUCCUGGCCUUGCCUCAAGAGCGACUUUCUUUAGCACGAUCAUAUUCCCGCACGCUGUUGGGAGCACGCUUCCUCAUAGAUGUGAGAGUCGUACGCCUCCGCCUUGGCGGUCUCCUGCACUGUGUUGGCAACGUGUUCCUGUUCUGAAGAACUGCGUAUCGUCGCCAUAGCGCGAACGUCCAUCGGAUGGGCUCCUACGUUUCGCUGUUUCCUGUUUACGACGGCAUAUUGAAUAAGUUUAGUAACAUUUUUAUCCUGUGAAAGAUUGGUACGUUCUCAGCGAAUGGAUGGCACUUGCGGGAAUUGGGUUUAUACGAAGCAGAAUGGUAAAAAAGGUCUGGUUACGUGCACAUCACUCAGUCUCGAGUAAGGGUUGUCAAUGUCUUCAUAAGCUUAUCUGUAAAUUUUUGGUGGCGAGAGCAACGGCGUUCGUUCACAUGGUGCGCUUUCGUAGUAGUACGUUGAUAUUGCUCUAAGCUUUGUGUGUACGUGUGUGCGCAUCUGUGUGUGCACGUGUGUGUCUGCGUGUGUAGGCGAGUGUGUGUGUGCGCGUGAGUGUUUACCCUUGCGUGCGCGUUUUGGUUUCAAAUUUCGGAAGUGUCGCCGACAUUGUGCUCCUUUUUUUUUUGGUCGAGAAAGUAUGACAUUAGCUCCGCUGCUACCCGGCGUACUUCAAUAUGUUUAAUAUUUAGGUAGCAUUUCCAGCGUCAGAGUUGACGCUUCAGUUUUGCCGGUUCAUUCACGUUCAUAGGGGCCUGGCUCGAUGUUUCAAUAUCGCUCAUGGACGUCCACUUUUGUAUUGGUUGAACCACUUCUGUAUUCGUUGAAGUCGUUUCUUUCGCUUUGGUCCUUCGGUUGAUCUCAGUGCUCGUUUCAGAAUUCAGCGGAUUCGUUCAGGCGUCUUUCUCGUAUCAGAAACGAGGACUUUAUACAUUCUCGGUUCUUUUAUUUUCAUCUUCUAUUACGACAGCCCUGCAAAUAUGCCACGCAAUACUCGCAGACGGGGCGGAGAUUUGCACUUGUUGCUGUAUGUGAUCUUGCGGGCUUUUUACAGCGAAUCUGUAUACCCCUACCGUCCAAGGAAACCUUUGUGUCGUUGCACGCAAAAACUCCCCGUACGUGGGCUGAUCCUGGAGAUAGUGCAAUGUCGGGCUCAACCACGGCGGAGGUGAUGCAGGCGUUAAGCACACGCUAUACAUGGGCCGAACCCGAGGAUAGUGCAAUACCGGCCCGACCUGCGGCGGAGGUGAAGCAGCCGUUAAGCACUUGCCAUACGUGGGCCGAUCCCGAAGAUAGUGCAAUGGCGGGCCGACCCGUGGCGGAGGUGUAGUUCGCCAUUAAGGGGCCCACAUACACAGCAUCACUGGUCAUCAUUCAAAGUGGAAGGGCAGUGAGUUUUCUUUUUUUUUCAA